UCUUCUGCGUCGCUCACGCUGGGAGCUGUAGACCGGAGCUGUUCCUAUUCGGCCAUCUUGGCUCCUCCUUAUUUGGCCUUUUCAAGUACAGAUAAAAUCCCUGGAGAUUAUAUAUGAAACAACCACAAGAAGACAGAAAGGUGAAAAGAAAAAGGCAGACAAGAUAGAGACCUCAGGACCAAGGAAUGGCAUUGUGCCAAGAGGAAAUAGUCUCCAAUCAAUAACUUAAACUCCCACCUCAAGAAACAAGAAAAAGAAGAGCAAAAUAAAUCCAAAGCAAGCAUAAGGAUGGAAAUAAUAAAGGUAAGAGCAGAAGUCAAUAGGGUUGACAAGAGAAAAACAAUACAGAAAAUCAAUAAACAAAAAUUUAUUCUUCGAAAACUUUGAAAACUCUUCAUAGAAAAAGAAACUCUACUGUAAUCAAUGUUGAAAAUAUAAAACUUUGGUGGGGGGGGAAUAUCUGCAACACCUAUUACAAAGACUAAGUUUCUUAACAUAUGGAAAGUUCCUAGCAGUCAAUAAGAAAAAUGACCAACAGCCUAUUCAAAAAAUGGGCAAAAGAAAAUGAGCAACAGUUCACAGAACACUGAACAUGUCUUUACAUACUCCAAAUGUUAAGAUUAAGAGGUUUGAUAAUAUAUUAAUU
rnacentral:lncRNA from 1 species